AUUCAAAACUUAUGAACCACGGUGAUAUUUAAAAAGGAGAAAAAGCCGACCGGAUACAUCGCAGUUACAUCAGACCUUAGACCGUUCAACAAAUCAUAUUGGUAAUAACCAUCGUUUACGCGAGCUCCGAUCUCCGAUCUCCGAAAUGGCGAACGAGGCGAACAGAGAUACUUUCUUGGAAAUUCAAGGUCGCAUGAUUGAAAUUACUGGAAAGUUGAAGCAGUUGCAAACCCAGAUACGAGGCAAGGAGGGAGAGAAGAAGCGCGCUUUUUUGACCUUGGAGGAACUUAAACAGUUGUCUGAAGACACUAAUACAUACAAAUCUAUAGGGAGAACGUGAGUUAUGUUGCAAUUAAGUGAUCGACUUAAAGUUUAGACCUUUCAUUUCCCAUACUAUACAGAUGAAAUUCUCUUACUCUGUGUUGCUUCGUCCUGACCAGGUUUGUUUUAGAGUCAAAGUCAGUUCUAAUGAAUGAGCAGGAGCAAAAGUUCAAGGAUAGUGAAACUGCAAUUGCCUCGCUCCAGUAACAUUAUGACUGGUGGAAGCGUCCUUGAGAUUUGGAAUGCAAUGUGCUUUCAAUGUUUCCCUUUGAAAUUUCUUAGAGAGCUCAAAGGAGUAUUUAGAGAGGCAGAUGGCUGAGGUGGAGAACAACUUGAGGGAGCUGUUGCAACUAGAUCCAGGUAUCAAAUUUGCAAUUUAACAUAGAAGUUUGAAGGUUAAGAUGCAAGUAGCCUUGUUGGUUGAAACUUGAUUGCAAACAGUUAGAGUAGUUGAUCAAAACAAAAAUUUAUGAGUGCAAUUGUAAUAAACCUUUUAGUGGUGUUUAUUUUUGGGAAUGUAGAAAACCAUAAUCAUAUAUGUCUGUAAUUAUAGAUAUACGGAAUUAUAGAUAUUCGACAUCUUUAGAUUAUCAUGUUUGUUUGAAGAUAUAUUUUUGUAGACAUCUAAAAAUAUUUUGAUUAUUGUAUUUGUUUCUUAGGACUUUUA